rnacentral:rRNA from 1 species
GAUGAACGCUGGCGGCGUGCCUAACACAUGCAAGUCGAGCGGCAGCGAGGGGUGCUUGCACCCUGUCGGCGAGCGGCGGACGGCUGAGUAACGCGUGGGAACGUGCCCCAAAGUGAGGAAUAACUGCCCGAAAGGGUAGCUAAUACCGCAUAUUAUCUUCGGAUCAAAGGAUUUAUCCGCUUUGGGAGCGGCUCGCGUCGGAUUAGGUAGUUGGUGAGGUAAUGGCUCACCAAGCCGACGAUCCGUAGCUGGUCUGAGAGGAUGACCAGCCAGACUGGAACUGAGACACGGUCCAGACUCCUACGGGAGGCAGCAGCGAGGAAUCUUCCACAAUGGGCGAAAGCCUGAUGGAGCAACGCCGCGUGCAGGACGAAGGCCUUCGGGUUGUAAACUGCUUUUAUAAGUGAGGAAUAUGACGGUAACUUAUGAAUAAGGAUCGGCUAACUACGUG